rnacentral:tRNA from 1 species
GCGACACUAGCUCAGCUGGUAGAGCGCAACCUUGCCAAGGUUGAGGUCACGAGUUCGAGCCUUGUGUGUCGCU